rnacentral:rRNA from 1 species
UACGUAGGUGGCAAGCGUUAUCCGGAUUUAUUGGGCGUAGAGGGAACGCAGGCGGUCUUUUAAGUCUGAUGUGAAAGCCUUCGGCUUAACCGGAGUAGUGCAUUGGAAACUGGGAGACUUGAGUGCAGAAGAGGAGAGUGGAACUCCAUGUGUAGCGGUGAGAUGCGUAGAUAUAUGGAAGAACACCAGUGGCGAAAGCGGCUCUCUGGUCUGUAACUGACGCUGAGGUUCGAAAGCGUGGGUAGCAAACAGG